GAUGAACGCUGGCGGUAUGCUUAACACAUGCAAGUCGAACGGUACCUCCGGGUAUAGUGGCGGACGGGUGUGUAACGCGCGAGAAUCUAACUUCAGGUCUGGGACAACAGUUAGAAAUGACUGCUAAUACCGGAUGUGCCGAAAGGUAAAAGAUUUAUUGCCUGAAAAGGAGCUCGCGUCAGAUUAGCUGGUAGGUGGUGUAAGAGACUACCUAGGCUUCGAUCUGUAGCUGGUCUGAGAGAACGAUCAGCCACACUGGAACUGAGACACGGUCCAGACUCCUACGGGAGGCAGCAGUGGGGAAUUUUGCGCAAUGGGCGAAAGCCUGACGGAGCAAUACCGCGUGAGGGAUGAAGGCUCUUGGGUCGUAAAGCUCUUUUCUCAAGGAAGAUUCAGACGGUACUUGAGGAAUAAGCAUCGGCUAACUCUGUG
rnacentral:rRNA from 1 species